CACUGUGGGAGAAGGAAAAGAGCAGCGGGCCCCACCUCUGACUACGUACUGGAAUCCCCCAGGGAGAGCUUCUAAAUGACCACGAGAUGCUGGCUCUGUUGUUCCAAGACUCUGAAAAGUCUAGAGGUCAAGAGAGGGUUAGCCAUCCGCCACACCAUGGUGAAAGUCUGCAUUUCUUGACGACCUUUAUUACAAGCAGCAAUCAACAUACUGAAGCAGGCAGAAAUAAAAGUGGUAAGGGAAGAUAGAAGGCACAGUACAUGGAGGAAGAGCCCAGGAGGGACGCGGCAUCAAGGGGGAGCCUGUUCACCUCCGUCCUGAGCUCCUUCUGUGUGCAUGGCCCUCCGCUGGGACAGGUGACCACUACAUUCCUCAAUCACCCUGCGAUCUACACGGGAGACUUUGAGACAGUGCAGGAGUCUGACUCCGUGUGGGUAUCUGGUGAUUUUCCAGGCCACCAUGCUUUCUUUUUUGCCACCUAACCAGGAAGUGGAUAAGCAGGUCUUGGUGCUCCCCGCUUUGCAGUUGAUGGCGUGUUCCAGCUCUACCAGCCCGUGCAGAACCCUCAGCCGUGCCUCAUCCUCUACCUGCAGUAAAUGUCAGGCUGGCUCUUUCUGGAUUCCCGCAAGCUAUUUUGGGUCAUCUGGAGUCGGCCUUUCU